rnacentral:rRNA from 1 species
UACGUAGGUGGCAAGCGUUGUCCGGAUUUACUGGGCGUAAAGGGCGUGCAGGCGGUUUGUUAAGUGCAGAGUGAAAGCUCCCGGCUCAGCUGGGAGAGGUCUUUGCAUACUGGCAAACUCGAGGGAGGCAGAGGAAAGUGGAAUUCCCGGUGUAGUGGUGAUAUACGUAGAUAUCCGGAGGAACACCAGCGGCGAAGGCGGCUUUCUGGUCUGAUACUGACGCUGAGGCGCGAAAGCGUGGGGAGCGAUCCGG